rnacentral:rRNA from 1 species
CCUUUAAGGGAGCUGAAGGAAUCUCGAAGAAUACGAGUUUGAUAGGCUGGCGGUCUAAGUGUGGAAACAUAUUGAGCCGACCAGUACUAAUUUUCCGUGAGGCUUGACCAU